AGUGAACGCUGGCGGUAGGCCUAAUACAUGCAAGUCGAACGGCAGCACAGUAAGCGCUUGCUCUUACGGGUGGCGAGUGGCGGACGGGUGAGGCAUACAUCGGAAUCUACUUUUUCGUGGGGGAUAACGUAGGGAAACUUACGCUAAUACCGCAUACGAUCUACGGGUGAAAGCAGGGGAUCUUCGGACCUUGCCCGAUUGAAUGAGCCGAUGUCGGAUUAGCUAGUUGGCGGGGUAAAGGCCCACCAAGGCGACGAUCCGUAGCUGGUCUGAGAGGAUGAUCAGCCACACUGGAACUGAGACACGGUCCAGACUCCUACGGGAGGCAGCAGUGGGGAAUAUUGGGCAAUGGGCGCAAGCCUGAUCCAGCCAUACCGCGUGAGUGAAGAAGGCCUUCGGGUUGUAAAGCCCUUUUGUUGGGAAAGAAAAGCAGCAGGUUAAUACCCCGCUGUUCUGACGGUACCCAAAGAAUAAGCACCGGCUAACUUCGUG
rnacentral:rRNA from 1 species